rnacentral:rRNA from 1 species
UACGUAGGGGGCUAGCGUUGUCCGGAAUCAUUGGGCGUAAAGCGCGUGUAGGCGGUCCGGUAAGUCCGCUGUGAAAGUCGGGGGCUCAACCCUCGGAUGCCGGUGGAUACUGUCGGGCUUGAGUACGGAAGAGGCGAGUGGAAUUCCUGGUGUAGCGGUGAAAUGCGCAGAUAUCAGGAGGAACACCCGUGGCUAAGGCGGCUCUCUAGUACGGUACUGACGCUGAGACGCGAAAGCGUGGGGAGCGAACAGG